CCUCUCGUAGCUUAGUGGUUAGAGCAUUGGUGCGUAAAGCCAAAGGUCCCCGGGUUCGAUUCACGGCGAGGGUG
rfam:Agrilus planipennis Contig57027, whole genome shotgun sequence.